rnacentral:rRNA from 1 species
GCUCAGGACGAACGCUGGCGGCGUGCCUAAUACAUGCAAGUCGAACGCUUUUUCUUUCACCGGAGCUUGCUCCACCGAAAGAAAAAGAGUGGCGAACGGGUGAGUAACACGUGGGUAACCUGCCCAUCAGAAGGGGAUAACACUUGGAAACAGGUGCUAAUACCGUAUAACACUAUCUUCCGCAUGGAAGAAAGUUGAAAGGCGCUUUUGCGUCACUGAUGGAUGGACCCGCGGUGCAUUAGCUAGUUGGUGAGGUAACGGCUCACCAAGGCAACGAUGCAUAGCCGACCUGAGAGGGUGAUCGGCCACACUGGGACUGAGACACGGCCCAGACUCCUACGGGAGGCAGCAGUAGGGAAUCUUCGGCAAUGGACGAAAGUCUGACCGAGCAACGCCGCGUGAGUGAAGAAGGUUUUCGGAUCGUAAAACUCUGUUGUUAGAGAAGAACAAGGAUGAGAGUAAAAUGUUCAUCCCUUGACGGUAUCUAACCAGAAAGCCACGGCUAACUACGUGCCAGCAGCCGCGGUAAUACGUAGGUGGCAAGCGUUGUCCGGAUUUAUUGGGCGUAAAGCGAGCGCAGGCGGUUUCUUAAGUCUGAUGUGAAAGCCCCCGGCUCAACCGGGGAGGGUCAUUGGAAACUGGGAGACUUGAGUGCAGAAGAGGAGAGUGGAAUUCCAUGUGUAGCGGUGAAAUGCGUAGAUAUAUGGAGGAACACCAGUGGCGAAGGCGGCUCUCUGGUCUGUAACUGACGCUGAGGCUCGAAAGCGUGGGGAGCGAACAGGAUUAGAUACCCUGGUAGUCCACGCCGUAAACGAUGAGUGCUAAGUGUUGGAGGGUUUCCGCCCUUCAGUGCUGCAGCAAACGCA